rnacentral:rRNA from 1 species
UACCCCGAGGAAAAGAAAUCAACCGAGAUUCCCCCAGUAGCGGCGAGCGAACGGGGAGGAGCCCAGAGCCUGAAUCAGCAUGUGUGUUAGUGGAAGCGUCUGGAAAGGCGCGCGAUACAGGGUGACAGCCCCGUACACAAAAGCGCAUGUGCUGUGAGCUCGAUGAGUAGGGCGGGACACGUGGUAUCCUGUCUGAAUAUGGGGGGACCAUCCUCCAAGGCUAAAUACUCCUGACUGACCGAUAGUGAACCAGUACCGUGAGGGAAAGGCGAAAAGAACCCCGGCGAGGGGAGUGAAAAAGAACCUGAAACCGUGUACGUACAAGCAGUGGGAGCACCCUUUGGGGUGUGACUGCGUACCUUUUGUAUAAUGGGUCAGCGACUUAUAUUCUGUAGCAAGGUUAACCGAAUAGGGGAGC